AAUCCAUAGGUUAAUGAGGCGAACCGGGGGAACUGAAACAUCUAAGUACCCCGAGGAAAAGAAAUCAACCGAGAUUCCCCCAGUAGCGGCGAGCGAACGGGGAGGAGCCCAGAGCCUGAAUCAGCAUGUGUGUUAGUGGAAGCGUCUGGAAAGGCGCGCGAUACAGGGUGACAGCCCCGUACACAAAAGCGCAUGUGCUGUGAGCUCGAUGAGUAGGGCGGGACACGUGGUAUCCUGUCUGAAUAUGGGGGGACCAUCCUCCAAGGCUAAAUACUCCUGACUGACCGAUAGUGAACCAGUACCGUGAGGGAAAGGCGAAAAGAACCCCGGCGAGGGGAGUGAAAAAGAACCUGAAACCGUGUACGUACAAGCAGUGGGAGCCCCACCACCAAAGCAUUUGCUGUACCGCGUUGACGGAGCGAAGCGACGUCAAACCGAUAAAACAGCAGUGUAAAGUGAGCCGCAGGGCGCUUUGCGCGACAGCGCAAAGGCAGGCGGUUUCGCGUAGCGAAAGCGAAUGCUUUGGGGUGGGGUGACUGCGUACCUUUUGUAUAAUGGGUCAGCGACUUAUAUUCUGUAGCAAGGUUAACCGAAUAGGGGAGCCGGAGGGAAACCGAGUCUUAAUUGGGCGUUAAGUUGCAGGGUAUAGACCCGAAACCCGGUGAUCUAGCCAUGGGCAGGUUGAAGGUUGGGUAACACUAACUGGAGGACCGAACCGACUAAUGUUGAAAAAUUAGCGGAUGACCUGUGGCUGGGGGUGAAAGGCCAAUCAAACCGGGAGAUAGCUGGUUCUCCCCGAAAGCUAUUUAGGUAGCGCCUCGUGAAUUCAUCUCCGGGGGUAGAGCACUGUUUCGGCUAGGGGGCCAUCCCGGCUUACCAACCCGAUGCAAACUGCGAAUACCGGAGAAUGUUAUCACGGGAGACACACGGCGGGUGCUAACGUCCGUCGUGAAGAGGGAAACAACCCAGACCGCCAGCUAAGGUCCCAAAGUCAUGGUUAAGUGGGAAACGAUGUGGGAAGGCCCAGACAGCCAGGAUGUUGGCUUAGAAGCAGCCAUCAUUUAAAGAAAGCGUAAUAGCUCACUGGUCGAGUCGGCCUGCGCGGAAGAUGUAACGGGGCUAAACCAUGCACCGAAGCUGCGGCAGCGACACUGUGUGUUGUUGGGUAGGGGAGCGUUCUGUAAGCCUGCGAAGGUGGCCUGUGAGGGUUGCUGGAGGUAUCAGAAGUGCGAAUGCUGACAUAAGUAACGAUAAAGCGGGUGAAAAGCCCGCUCGCCGGAAGACCAAGGGUUCCUGUCCAACGUUAAUCGGGGCAGGGUGAGUCGACCCCUAAGGCGAGGCCGAAAGGCGUAGUCGAUGGGAAACGGGUUAAUAUUCCCGUACUUGGUGUUACUGCGAAGGGGGGACGGAGAAGGCUAUGUUGGCCGGGCGACGGUUGUCCCGGUUUAAGCGUGUAGGUGUGUGUUCCAGGUAAAUCCGGUUCACUUUAACACUGAGGCGUGACGACGAGGCACUACGGUGCUGAAGCAACAAAUGCCCUGCUUCCAGGAAAAGCCUCUAAGCAUCAGGUAACAUCAAAUCGUACCCCAAACCGACACAGGUGGUCAGGUAGAGAAUACCAAGGCGCUUGAGAGAACUCGGGUGAAGGAACUAGGCAAAAUGGUGCCGUAACUUCGGGAGAAGGCACGCUGACACGUAGGUGAAGUGAUUUACUCAUGGAGCUGAAGUCAGUCGAAGAUACCAGCUGGCUGCAACUGUUUAUUAAAAACACAGCACUGUGCAAACACGAAAGUGGACGUAUACGGUGUGACGCCUGCCCGGUGCCGGAAGGUUAAUUGAUGGGGUCAGCGCAAGCGAAGCUCCUGAUCGAAGCCCCGGUAAACGGCGGCCGUAACUAUAACGGUCCUAAGGUAGCGAAAUUCCUUGUCGGGUAAGUUCCGACCUGCACGAAUGGCGUAAUGAUGGCCAGGCUGUCUCCACCCGAGACUCAGUGAAAUUGAACUCGCUGUGAAGAUGCAGUGUACCCGCGGCAAGACGGAAAGACCCCGUGAACCUUUACUAUAGCUUGACACUGAACAUUGAGCCUUGAUGUGUAGGAUAGGUGGGAGGCUUUGAAGUGUGGACGCCAGUCUGCAUGGAGCCGACCUUGAAAUACCACCCUUUAAUGUUUGAUGUUCUAACGUGGACCCGUUACCCGGGUUGCGGACAGUGUCUGGUGGGUAGUUUGACUGGGGCGGUCUCCUCCUAAAGAGUAACGGAGGAGCACGAAGGUUGGCUAAUCCUGGUCGGACAUCAGGAGGUUAGUGCAAUGGCAUAAGCCAGCUUGACUGCGAGCGUGACGGCGCGAGCAGGUGCGAAAGCAGGUCAUAGUGAUCCGGUGGUUCUGAAUGGAAGGGCCAUCGCUCAACGGAUAAAAGGUACUCCGGGGAUAACAGGCUGAUACCGCCCAAGAGUUCAUAUCGACGGCGGUGUUUGGCACCUCGAUGUCGGCUCAUCACAUCCUGGGGCUGAAGUAGGUCCCAAGGGUAUGGCUGUUCGCCAUUUAAAGUGGUACGCGAGCUGGGUUUAGAACGUCGUGAGACAGUUCGGUCCCUAUCUGCCGUGGGCGCUGGAGAACUGAGGGGGGCUGCUCCUAGUACGAGAGGACCGGAGUGGACGCAUCACUGGUGUUCGGGUUGUCAUGCCAAUGGCACUGCCCGGUAGCUAAAUGCGGAAGAGAUAAGUGCUGAAAGCAUCUAAGCACGAAACUUGCCCCGAGAUGAGUUCUCCCUGAGACUUUAGGUCUCCUGAAGGAACGUUGAAGACGACGACGUUGAUAGGCCGGGUGUGUAAGCGCAGCGAUGCGUUGAGCUAACCGGUACUAAUGAACCGUGAGGCUUAACCUUACAACGCCGAAG
rnacentral:rRNA from 1 species